GGCAUCGCCGGGUAGCUACGUCGGGACAGGAUAACCGCUGAAAGCAUCUAAGCGGGAAGCCCCCUCCAAGAUGAGUACUCCCAGAGUCUUCGGACUCUCAGAAGGGCCGUGCGAGACUAGCACGUUGAUAGGCGGCAGGUGGAAGCGUGG
rnacentral:rRNA from 1 species